CUUGCGGCCAUAUCGCGUUGAAACACCGGCUCACGUACGAUUAGUGAAGUUAAGCAACCUCGAACCUGGUCAGUACCUAGAUGGGUAACCGCUUGGGAAUUCCAAGUGCUGUAA